GGUUGACCCAUCACCAAUAACUGUUAGGUGAGGUGAUGAGCCAGUUGGUGAGAUCGCACCACCCACUAGAAAUCACUGAUCACAGAGAUUUUCACAUCUCUACCGAGGGAGUGUAGGGAUCUGAGAAAAUAGUGGGAGCCUAAUUUGUUUAAAAAUGAAAUCCCUAAACAAAUUGGUUAAGUCUGAUUACAAACUCUAACUAGAAACUUUUGACUCUCUACAGGAAACAUGUCUACUUCCAACCCCCUGACCAAAAUACUAGACACCCACAGAUUGAUUGGACCCAAUUUCAAAGACUGAUUGAGGAACUACAGAAUUAUUCUGGGUUUCAAAAAAUUGACUCAUGUCUUGGACCAGGACCCACCUGCCA
rnacentral:lncRNA from 1 species